rnacentral:lncRNA from 1 species
GAUUUCCUCCCCCUUUUAGGGUUUUGCCAAGUGCAUUUUUAGUCACAAAUGCAGCAAAAAUACACCUAGAAAAUGUCUUUUUUCCUUUUUUUUUUUUCCUAGCCAUCAGUAAGCAUUUCCAACUCCUAUUUGUGCCCACAGACAAGUCCUCUUUGAAAACAUCGUGGAAAAGCCUGACGAUUUUCAAAGAAGUGAGACACGAGCUCCUCAAAAGCUUUAUAUAUUUCAAAUAAAACAAGAUCCUGCAUGCCAGAGUGAAGAUCUAAAGAUUCCCCAAAACCUGGAAUUGUUUUUGAGUAAGGGAGAAGAAAUCGCUCCAACCAAGGCUGACCCCAGAGCUGUUACUGAGCUGGAGAAAUGACCGUAGCAUGUUAAAAUAAGGCAGGUGGAUCCUUCACAAGUUUCUCCUGCUGUUUUUCUUCUAAGCCUUGAAGAUUCAUGUGAUUUAAAUCCUGAAGUGACAGGAGGGAAGCAAAUGCUAUAACUUUCAUUACCCACACAGUGAUUAUGAGAGGCUUCAUUGAUGGCCAGGUGUCUCCACGAUAGGCUCCACAGCAGAAGCAGCAGCGACCCACAGGCAGGGGCCAUGGACUCCAGUACAGAGGCAGGUAUUGAUGGAAGGGGGGGACACCUACACGUUAAACACAUGCAGCACCAUGACUUGGAACCACAUCUCAGCCAGCCACACAUCACCUACUGAAUUCCAGAAAAGGGAGACAAUUCUCCUUCGGUUCAAAUGCAAAGAACUUGUGGUUUAGAAGAAAAAAAGCUCUAUUAUUUCCUCUCUCU